AAAUUGAAGAGUUUGAUCAUGGCUCAGAUUGAACGCUGGCGGCAGGCCUAACACAUGCAAGUCGAACGGUAACAGGAAGCAGCUUGCUGCUUCGCUGACGAGUGGCGGACGGGUGAGUAAUGUCUGGGAAACUGCCUGAUGGAGGGGAUAACUACUGGAAACGGUAGCUAAUACCGCAUAACGUCGCAAGACCAAAGAGGGGGACCUUCGGGCCUCUUGCCAUCGGAUGUGCCCAGAUGGGAUUAGCUUGUUGGUGGGGUAACGGCUCACCAAGGCGACGAUCCCUAGCUGGUCUGAGAGGAUGACCAGCCACACUGGAACUGAGACACGGUCCAGACUCCUACGGGAGGCAGCAGUGGGGAAUAUUGCACAAUGGGCGCAAGCCUGAUGCAGCCAUGCCGCGUGUAUGAAGAAGGCCUUCGGGUUGUAAAGUACUUUCAGCGGGGAGGAAGGGAGUAAAGUUAAUACCUUUACUCAUUGACGUUACCCGCAGAAGAAGCACCGGCUAACUCCGUGCCAGCAGCCGCGGUAAUACGGAGGGUGCAAGCGUUAAUCGGAAUUACUGGGCGUAAAGCGCACGCAGGCGGUUUGUUAAGUCAGAUGUGAAAUCCCCGGGCUCAACCUGGGAACUGCAUCUGAUACUGGCAAGCUUGAGUCUCGUAGAGGGGGGGUAGAAUUCCAGGUGUAGCGGUGAAAUGCGUAGAGAUCUGGAGGAAUACCGGUGGCGAAGGCGGCCCCCUGGACGAAGACUGACGCUCAGGUGCGAAAGCGUGGGGAGCAAACAGGAUUAGAUACCCUGGUAGUCCACGCCGUAAACGAUGUCGACUUGGAGGUUGUGCCCUUGAGGCGUGGCUUCCGGAGCUAACGCGUUAAGUCGACCGCCUGGGGAGUACGGCCGCAAGGUUAAAACUCAAAUGAAUUGACGGGGGCCCGCACAAGCGGUGGAGCAUGUGGUUUAAUUCGAUGCAACGCGAAGAACCUUACCUGGUCUUGACAUCCACGGAAGUUUUCAGAGAUGAGAAUGUGCCUUCGGGAACCGUGAGACAGGUGCUGCAUGGCUGUCGUCAGCUCGUGUUGUGAAAUGUUGGGUUAAGUCCCGCAACGAGCGCAACCCUUAUCCUUUGUUGCCAGCGGUCCGGCCGGGAACUCAAAGGAGACUGCCAGUGAUAAACUGGAGGAAGGUGGGGAUGACGUCAAGUCAUCAUGGCCCUUACGACCAGGGCUACACACGUGCUACAAUGGCGCAUACAAAGAGAAGCGACCUCGCGAGAGCAAGCGGACCUCAUAAAGUGCGUCGUAGUCCGGAUUGGAGUCUGCAACUCGACUCCAUGAAGUCGGAAUCGCUAGUAAUCGUGGAUCAGAAUGCCACGGUGAAUACGUUCCCGGGCCUUGUACACACCGCCCGUCACACCAUGGGAGUGGGUUGCAAAAGAAGUAGGUAGCUUAACCUUCGGGAGGGCGCUUACCACUUUGUGAUUCAUGACUGGGGUGAAGUCGUAACAAGGUAACCGUAGGGGAACCUGCGGUUGGAUCACCUCCUUA
rnacentral:rRNA from 1 species